UCCUGAAGAUUGAAGCUUGCUUCAUGAUUCAGACCUUGGUGAGUGGCGGACGGGUGAGUAACACGUGGGUAACCUGCCCAAAAGUGGGGGAUAACAUCUGGAAACAGGUGCUAAUACCGCAUAACAACUACUUUCACAUGAUCGUAGCUUGAAAGAUGGCUCUGCUAUCGCUUUUGGAUGGACCCGCGGCGUAUUAGCUAGUUGGUGAGGUAAUAGCUCACCAAGGCAAUGAUACGUAGCCGACCUGAGAGGGUAAUCGGCCACAUUGGGACUGAGACACGGCCCAAACUCCUACGGGAGGCAGCAGUAGGGAAUCUUCCACAAUGGGCGAAAGCCUGAUGGAGCAAUGCCGCGUGAGUGAAGAAGGUUUUCGGAUCGUAAAACUCUGUUGUUGAAGAAGAACAUGCGUGAGAGUAACUGUUCACGUACUGACGGUAUUCAACCAGAAAGCCACGGCUAACUACGUGCCAGCAGCCGCGGUAAUACGUAGGUGGCAAGCGUUGUCCGGAUUUAUUGGGCGUAAAGAGAAUGUAGGCGGUUUAUUAAGUUUGAAGUGAAAGCCCUCGGCUCAACCGAGGAAGUGCUUCGAAAACUGGUAAACUUGAGUGCAGAAGAGGAAAGUGGAACUCCAUGUGUAGCGGUGGAAUGCGUAGAUAUAUGGAAGAACACCAGUGGCGAAGGCGGCUUUCUGGUCUGUAACUGACGCUGA
rnacentral:rRNA from 2 species